CGAAUCGAUAUAUUACUUAUCGAGUACUAUAAAAAAAUGCGGAUAUAGUCGAAUGGUAAAAUUUCUCUUUGCCAAGGAGAAGACGCGGGUUCGAUUCCCGCUAUCCGCCCCUACCUUUUUUAUUUUGUAUAUAUUUAAUUUAGAUAGUAAGUCUAUAAAAUUUGAUAGAGUUUACGGGGAUAGUCUAGGUAGAGUAUUUCCCUUUAGUC